AGCUUUGCACAGUGGCAGUAUCGUAGCCAAUGAGGUUUAUUCGAGGUGUGAUUAUUGCUAACUGAAAAAACUCACUUAGUUUUUAGAUAUUGGCAAACUCAAUCAAAAAGCAUACAUGGGGAACCAGCAGUUAGCGUAAUGGC
ensembl:snRNA U4 U4 spliceosomal RNA